CCUACGGGAGGCUGCAGUGGGGAAUAUUGCACAAUGGGGGAAACCCUGAUGCAGCGACGCCGCGUGAGUGAAGAAGUAUUUCGGUAUGUAAAGCUCUAUCAGCAGGGAAGAAAAUGACGGUACCUGACUAAGAAGCCCCGGCUAACUACGUGCCAGCAGCCGCGGUAAUACGUAGGGGGCAAGCGUUAUCCGGAUUUACUGGGUGUAAAGGGAGCGUAGACGGCAGAGCAAGUCUGAAGUGAAAGCCCGGGGCCCAACUGCGGGACUGCUUUGGAAACUGCCCGGCUAGAGUGCUGGAGAGGUAAGCGGAAUUCCUAGUGUAGCGGUGAAAUGCGUAGAUAUUAGGAGGAACACCAGUGGCGAAGGCGGCUUACUGGACAGUAACUGACGUUGAGGCUCGAAAGCGUGGGGAGCAAACAGGAUUAGAUACCCGAGUAGUC
rnacentral:rRNA from 1 species